UAACGCGAAGAACCUUACCAAGGCUUGACAUAUGCGAGAACGCACUGGAGACAGUGAACUCUUUGGACACUCGUAUACAGGUGGUGCAUGGUUGUCGUCAGCUCGUGUCGUGAGAUGUUGGGUUAAGUCCCGCAACGAGCGCAACCCUCGUCCUAUGUUGCCAGCACGUAAUGGUGGGAACUCAUGGGAUACUGCCGGGGUCAACUCGGAGGAAGGUGGGGAUGAGGUCAAAUCAUCAUGCCCCUUAUGUCUUGGGCUUCACGCAUGCUACAAUGGCCGGUACAAUGGGCUGCGAUACCGUAAGGUGGAGCGAAUCCCAAAAAGCCGGUCUCAGUUCGGAUUGAGGUCUGCAACUCGACCUCAUGAAGUCGGAGUCGCUAGUAAUCGCAGAUCAGCAACGCUGCGGUGAAUACGUUCCCGGGUCUUGUACACACCGA
rnacentral:rRNA from 1 species